GACGAACGCUGGCGGCGUGCUUAACACAUGCAAGUCGAACGAUGAAGAAGAGAAACGCGAACUUCGGUUCAAAUUUCACUUCGGAUUAGUGGCAGACGGGUGAGUAACGCGUGAGCAACCUACCUCUUACAAAGGGAUAGCCUCGGGAAACCGUGAUUAAUACCAUAUGACACAUUCAUAAGGCAUCUUAAGAAUGUUAAAGCUACGGCGGUAAGAGAUUGGCUCGCGUCCCAUUAGCUAGUUGGUGAGGUAACGGCCCACCAAGGCGACGAUGGGUAACCGGCCUGAGAGGGUGAACGGUCACAUUGGAACUGAGACACGGUCCAAACUCCUACGGGAGGCAGCAGUGGGGAAUAUUGCACAAUGGAGGGAACUCUGAUGCAGCGACGCCGCGUGAGCGAUGAAGGAAUUCGUUUCGUAAAGCUCUGUUCUAUGGGAAGAAAAGGACUGUACCAUAGGAGAAAGCCCCGGCUAAAUACGG
rnacentral:rRNA from 1 species